rnacentral:rRNA from 1 species
CUCAACAUAAGCGGAGGAAAAGAAACCAACAGGGAUUGCCUCAGUAACGGCGAGUGAAGCGGCAACAGCUCAAAUUUGAAAUCUGGCUUCGGCCCGAGUUGUAAUUUGUAGAGGAUGCUUCGGCUUACGUACCGGUCUAAGUUCCUUGGAACAGGACGUCACAGAGGGUGAGAAUCCCGUUUGUGGCCGGCACUUCCGCCAUGUGAAGCUCCUUCGACGAGUCGAGUUGUUUGGGAAUGCAGCUCUAAAUGGGAGGUAUAUUUCUUCUAAAGCUAAAUACCGGCCAGAGACCGAUAGCGCACAAGUAGAGUGAUCGAAAGAUGAAAAGCACUUUGGAAAGAGAGUUAAAAAGUACGUGAAAUUGUUGAAAGGGAAGCGCUUGCGACCAGACUUGCCCGCGGAUGCUCAACCGGUCCUUCGGCCGGUGCACUCUUCCGCGGUCAGGCCAGCAUCAGUUCGGGCGGUCGGAUAAAGACCUUGGGAAUGUGGCUCUCUUCGGGGAGUGUUAUAGCCCUCGGUACAAUACGGCCUGCCUGGACUGAGGCCCGCGCUUCGGCUAGGAUGCUGGCGUAAUGGUCGUAAGCGGCCCGUCUUGAAACACGGACCAAGGAGUCUAACAUCUAUGCGAGUGUUUGGGUGUCAAACCCGUGCGCGAAAUGAAAGUGAACGGAGGUGGGAACCUUAGGGUGCACCAUCGACCGAUCCUGAUGUCUUCGGAUGGAUUUGAGUAUGAGCAUAGCUGUUGGGACCCGAAAGAUGGUGAACUAUGCCUGAAUAGGGUGAAGCCAGAGGAAACUCUGGUGGAGGCUCGCAGCGGUUCUGACGUGCAAAUCGAUCGUCAAAUUUGGGUAUAGGGGCGAAAGACUAAUCGAACCAUCUAGUAGCUGGUCUGUAGCU